AUGAUACAUCAAAAUCAGUCCAUUAAUAUACACACACAUUCGUUACAAUCACAAAAGACUCCAAACGCCAUUUCUACCUUGUUUGCAAACCCGUCUCCUGAUCAUCGGAUAUUCCUGAUAUUGUUGUUCAAGUUUUCGAUCCCAAACUCGGCAGAAACAGAUACAUGUUUACUGCUAGUGAUGGAACAAAGAAGCUGA